rnacentral:rRNA from 1 species
AUUGAACGCUGGCGGCAUGCCUACACAUGCAAGUCGAACGGUAACAGGUCUUCGGAUGCUGACGAGUGGCGAACGGGUGAGUAAUACAUCGGAACGUGCCUAGUAGUGGGGGAUAACUACUCGAAAGAGUGGCUAAUACCGCAUGAGAUCUACGGAUGAAAGCAGGGGAUCGCAAGACCUUGUGCUACUAGAGCGGCCGAUGGCAGAUUAGGUAGUUGGUGGGAUAAAAGCUUACCAAGCCGACGAUCUGUAGCUGGUCUGAGAGGACGAUCAGCCACACUGGGACUGAGACACGGCCCAGACUCCUACGGGAGGCAGCAGUUGGGAAUUUUGGACAAUGGGCGCAAGCCUGAUCCAGCCAUGCCGCGUGCAGGAUGAAGGCUUUCGGGUUGUAAACUGCUUUUGUACGGAACGAAAAGCCCUGGGUUAAUACCCUGGGGUCAUGACGGUACCGUAAGAAUAAGCACCGGCUAACUACGUGCCAGCCGCCGCCGUAAAAC